rnacentral:rRNA from 1 species
GAUGAACGCUAGCGGCAGGCCUAACGCAUGCAAGUCGAGGGGUAACUAGAGUGAUAGCAAUAUUACUUUGGCUAGACCGGCGCACGGGUGCGUAACACGUAUGCAACCUACCUUAUACUGGGGAAUAACUUCGAGAAAUCGGCGCUAAUACCCCAUAACACUGCGGAGAGGCAUCUCUUUGCAGUUAAAGCUCCGGCGGUAUAAGAUGGGCAUGCGUCCAAUUAGCUAGUUGGUGAGGUAACGGCUCACCAAGGCUACGAUUGGUAGGGGUUCUGAGAGGAUGAUCCCCCACACUGGUACUGAGACACGGACCAGGCUCCUACGGGAGGCAGCAGUGAGGAAUAUUGCGCAAUGGACGAAAGUCUGACGCAGCCAUGCCGCGUGCAGGAUGACGGCCCUAUGGGUUGUAAACUGCUUUUGUACGGGAAUAAACCCUUCUACGUGUAGGAGGCUGAAGGUACCGUAAGAAUAAGCACCGGCUAACUCCGUGCCAGCCGCCGCAGUAA